GGGGCCAUAGCUCAGUUGGUAGAGCGCUUGAAUGGCAUUCAAGAGGUCGUCGGUUCGAUCCCGAUUGGCUCCACCA
rnacentral:tRNA from 2 species